GACUACAUGAUCUAAAGGUAUGAUGUUACUACUUCACAGUAAAUAUACGGGUUCAAUUCCCGUUGUGGUUA